GGCAGUUGCUUAUGUUCUUUCGGGAAUGUAUGGUAGCGUUAGCCAACUUGGCGUGGGAAAUGCUAUUCUUAUAAUCGUUCAGUUGUGCUUUGCUGGUAUUGUUGUCAUAUGCUUGGAUGAGCUUCUCCAGAAGGGAUAUGGUUUAGGAUCUGGAAUUUCCCUCUUCAUAGCAACCAACAUGUGUGAGAACAUUAUUUGGAAGGCAUUUAGUCCGACAACCAUCAACAGUGGAAGAGGAGCUGAAUUUGAAGGAGCUGUCAUUGCAUUAUUCCAUCUGCUGAUUACACGGACAGACAAGGUUCGUGCAUUGCGGGAAGCAUUCUAUCGGCAGAAUCUUCCUAAUGUGACAAAUCUGCUUGCUACAGUUUUGAUUUUCCUAAUUGUUGUCUACUUCCAAGGGUUCCGGGUGGUUCUGCCUGUGAGGUCAAAGAAUUCCCGUGGACAACAGGGUUCUUACCCAAUUAAGCUUUUCUACACCUCCAACAUGCCAAUCAUUCUUCACUCUGCUCUUGUUUCCAACCUUUACUUCAUCUCACAGUUACUGUACAGGAAGUACAGUGGGAACUUCCUGGUGAAUCUUCUGGGUAUAUGGAAGGAAUCUGAGUAUUCUAACGGCCAAUCCAUCCCUGUUGGUGGCCUUGCUUAUUACAUCACCCCACCAUCGAGCUUAGCUGAUAUGGCAGCCAA
rnacentral:misc_RNA from 1 species